GCACUUUGGAAAUAACGGCGAUGAGAAGAAGCUCUUCUACAGGCAGCUGAAGAGGGAGUACGAUCGCUCUCUCGACACAGCACCACGAUCUACGUUCUAUCGCACUUUGGAAAUACCGGCGAUGAGAAGAAGCUCUUCUACAGGCAGCUGAAGACGGAGUACGAUCGCUCUCUCGACACAGCACCACGGCACAUCUUCAUUGAAGUUCAGAACGCUCGGGGGAGUUAUACGUCGUAAGUGUAUGGCAGUGAUAAACUGACAGUAAAGAUCCUCCAUGCGAUCGUGAUCCAGAAGAUCAACCGCAGUUGAUGUAAGCUGAAGAUGUUCACGCAGAUUACUCAGGAUGACAAACGACCGGAUUAUCUCGAAGGUCCUCACUCAUCUUAAAUAUUUCAUAUUUGCACAUCUUGCAACAAAUAUCGUCGAUAACUGCUAAGCCGGACUUGGAUUACAGACCAUUAUUAACAGGAUCGAGCGGAACGUGAACGUGCACUUCAGUUGUAUUCAGAUCUUACGUGAAACUACGUCCUCAAGGUGCAUGAGAGAGCAUGAGAGAGCUAUGCUAUGCGAGAUGCGAUAUAUGUUCGAAAAGUCAGCUGUGAAGCGGGCACACUGCAUCUUGCCCGUGCAGCAUUUUGCCACGUCCCGUUCGAGCGGGACCCAGGGAGCAGACACAGCAAACAGA